rnacentral:SRP_RNA from 1 species
CCCCGUCCCGCGGGGCCAACGGGGCUGGAGUCUCCGCUGGAGGGCGGAGGCUACCGCCGGAGCCGAGGGAACCUGGCCAGGCCCGGAAGGGAGCAACCUGGCCUCGGACGUUGGCGUUCGCGGGGGCGCGGGG